ACUAUAAAUUUGUGAGCAAUGUCGAGUCAGCUAUUCUUGCAAAACACCUUUCUGCCAGAUUUUCUGAAUCUCCUUUUUAUGGAUUAAUUCUUGAUGUUCAUAUGUUAUCAAUGUCUGACUUUUUUGUCUGUACUUUAUCAUCAAAUACUGCGAGACUUCUGUACGAAUUGAUGAACGUACGAUACUGGAACGCACCGGACCGUAUCAAAUCACUUGAUAUCGAAUUCGCAUAUCAUAUGGAAAGAUACAACAGAUACUUUUUGCACAACACAGAAAUGAGACGUUCUUCAAGCAGUUCAAAGUCAAAAAGGAUAUUUAAAAUCCACGGAAAAUAACGACAACACUGGACAAUAAUGCCACUGCUUUUAGAAUGCCUACAUAUUCUGAAGUUCCAAUAUUAGUCUAAAAUAUUAUGGAAACUGGUUAUUUUAGUUCUUUCCUUGUCGUAGACAAUAGAGAAUUUUGGGUAACAUAACUACAGUGUCAAAAAACUGCACUUGUUGCAAAUAUUAGUUGUUGUAAAUAAUUGAGAAGCUAAAUAUUGCACAAGUCGCUAAUACAUACGCAAAAUUUUCUAAUCGGUCACAUAGGUAGUUAUUUGAAGUAAACUACAUUUAAUAUUUAAUAUUUUGAUAUAAUUACGCAUAUUCUACGACAGUGUUACACAAUAAACGAAGUUGAACAUAAACAAUCAGGAAGCUAGAACAGAUGAAUAAAUACAUCACUAAGGAUAAAGGUCACAAAAUUAAAACUAUCACAAACUUAUCGCCGGCUAUUCUGGUCUCUUCUGUACCAGGAAAAGCUGAAAUAAAAUCCUACAUCUUUGAAUGUACUUGAAUCGAAAGUUAGCCCAAGUGAACUAGGUUACCAAGCCUAUAUUUUACGGUGACACAGUCAAACCGAGUCUGCUAUUAUGUCACUUGCCUACAUCCAAUGCUUCCAAAGGCUCUUUUCAGAUUUGAGCCGCACCAUGAGAAAACCAACAUAGUGCGUUUGCGACCAGCAUCCGCUUUCAAAGCCUAUUGCAAUUAGAGAAAUUGUUAGCGAACAGCAUGGAUCCUGACCAGACUGCUCGGAUGCGCAGGCUGGUCCGGUUCCAUGCCGGUUGCAAACGCACUAUGUUGGUUUUCCGAAGGCCGGCUCAUUUUAUCCUUGUUCCAAAACGUGCUCAAUUUGGCCUACAUUGUGUUAGAGGUUCACUUAGCAGGGGAUAACAUAUAUUUAAACUUUAUUGUAGCUUUGGAACAUAGCAGGGGCUAAGAGCACGUGUUUCAUUAAUUAUUGUAGUAAAAUGUUGACUUUGCGCUGUAAAGAAGGUCUAGACCCCCUUCCAGCGAGAUCGUAUUGUACUGCGCCCCUAAAGUAACGGAGUCAAAGGGUUGAAUGCAAAGCCCCGCGUCCAAAAUUGAUAUUUAGCUGUUAGAUAGGGGUAAACAUUACAUCUCUUGCGAGAUUUUGUAACAUUCUUUUAGUACUCUUUCAUGAGUAAAUAUAAAUUUUCGCCAAAAAUGCUCAUUUCUUUGUAAUUACAUUUGUCUAUAAGUAUACAAUUAAUGUUUUAAUUCCUACAGAGUUUAAACAUAACACGGCCGGAGAUUCUUUGCAAUACAACUUCACGUGGGAAACUAGAAUCUCACUUAACUGCUUCAUACUUAUCUGAAUUUAAUUUAUUACAAGAAAAGAAGCCGGAGCUUCAAAAUGCCGGUGCGCCAUGCUAAUUGCCCUGUUGUUGGACAGGGUCUAGUACUUAUGCCAUGGUUGAAUUAAUAUCUGAUAUUAUGAUUGUAAAUAUGACAUAUUGAAGCAUUCAAUUUCUUUUUCAAGUCUUACGUGUGUUUCAGUUAUGUUAUGAAGUAACAUUUAAAUAAUGUUUUAUGGUGAUACGUGAAGUGCUAGAAUUUUCUAUGAUGUAAAUAAGAAGCUGUCACAGGACGGGGCUGAACCUAGGGUAAAAACCUAUUGAAAAAGCCUUCCUAACUAAAUAUUACCAAUUUUGACACUAAACAUUGGAAGGAUACACAUUUACAUUUUGGAUUCAAAGAUAAAUAUUCUUUGGAUAAUCUAAAUACAGCUUGGAUUGUGUGACAAAUUUGGAAUAUUACUGAUUGGAUCUAAAUUUGAUCAGGACAGUACACUGACUACUCCUUCAUACUGUAGUUGGAUUGUACGGAGAGCGAACAUUUUCCAGACAUGGAAUGUAAACAAAUCCAGGAACUACUUAACAGUACAAGGACAUCAAACAACCUUUUUCAUUUUCCUGCAGAACAGAAAUUAUUCAACAGUAUUAUUUUCAUAAUCGGCCGCCAUAUUGAUGACGUCAUUUCCGGAUCCAGUCGCGGUCCCCAGAAGAGAUACAUACGUAUUGUUUUUGUCUCAGACCAAGGAAUAAUUUGGUAUAUGUGGCUAUAUUUCUCAACCACUUUCGAGCGGGAUUACAAAUGACCGUGGACUAUAACAUUCACAGCGAUGCCUGCCGUAUUGAUGAUGAAAGCCUUAUAUUUAUAGGCGUAAUAUUGUAAAAACAGUUUUUGUUAACAUAAUCAAAAUUUCAAAAUGAAUCGGAUGAAAUGGCGUUUUAUUUGAAAUUGAUAAAUGAGUAAAAUGGAAUAAAAAAUAAUUAAUUAACUUGCAUAUUAAUCCUCAUUUAUUCCUUGGGCUGGCAGAGUUAAUGUUCUGUCACGCCAUUGCAAGGUGCGUUGAGUAUUGUUCGCAGCAUUCAAGUAUAAGCUGUCAUAAUCCUAAGCUACUCCAGGGAUGGUUUUAUAAAAUAGUUUCAUUUUAAGAUAUCUUGAACAAUGCAGUGUUUUCUCUCUUUUAAUAUCCUAUGCAAUCUUAAAUAGAAUCUAAACAUGUGUGACAACUUUCAUAGUAAUAUUGAAAGUACUGCGUAAUGAUGAAGAAUCUUCGAGGAGUUCCAUCAUGCGUUUUCGUUAUGGUAGUUCAACAGUUCUCUGAUUUGAUAACUACUUAAAUCCUAUGAUUCUUUCAAACAGUCUGUUUCAAUUGACUUCGAGAGCCUUAUUAAAGAUCAGUUAUUUAGCAGACUGCAAAAUUUGUUAAAAAUAUUUCUUACGCAAUGGAAGUUAGAAAUUGAAGUAUUUUCAUGUAUUUUAAUGCUUUUUCGUGAGUCAAUGUAUAUAU